UCUUGGUCAUUUAGAGGAAGUAAAAGUCGUAACAAGGUUUCCGUAGGUGAACCUGCGGAAGGAUCAUUAAAGAAAUGAUAAUCGAGGGCCCAUGGAAAGGAGAGAGGGUUGUAGCUGGCUUUAAGCACGUGCACGCCCUCUUUCUAGACCAUAGGUCCUUAUGGGCGCGGGGCCACCCGCGUCUUCAUAAGCCCCUUCGUGUAGAAAGUCUAUGAAUGUUAUUACCAUCAUCGAGUCGCGACUUCUAGGAGACGCGAUUCUUUGAGAUAAAAGUUAUUACAACUUUCAGCAAUGGAUCUCUUGGCUCUCGCAUCGAUGAAGAACGCAGCGAAUCGCGAUAUGUAAUGUGAAUUGCAGAUCUACAGUGAAUCAUCGAAUCUUUGAACGCACCUUGCGCUUAUCGGUGUUCCGAUGAGCAUGCCUGUUUGAGCGUCAUUAAAUUCUCAACCUCUCUCGAUUCGCUUCGAGAGGGCGCUUGGAUGGUGGAGGCUGCCGGAGACCUGUUUUUUCAGGACUCGGGCUCCUCUNAAAUGUAUUGGCUUGCGGUCGACUUUCGACUAUGCAUGACAAGGCCUUUGGCGUGAUAAUGAUCGCCGCUCGCCGAAGUGCAUGAACGAAUGGUCUCGCGCCUCUAAUCAGUCGAUGUCUUUUCGAAGGCGUCUUCCUCAUUGACGUUUGACCUCAAAUCAGGUAGGAUUACCCGCUGAACUUAAGCAUAUCAAUAA
rnacentral:rRNA from 1 species